UACGAAGGGGCUAGCGUUGCUCGGAAUCACUGGGCGUAAAGGGUGCGUAGGCGGGUCUUUAAGUCAGGGUGAAUCCUGGAGCUCAACUCCAGAACUGCCUUUGAUACUGAAGAUCUUGAGUUCGGGAGAGGUGAGUGGAACUGCGAGUGUAGGAGGUGAAAUUCGUAGAUAUUCGCAAGAACACCAGUGGCGAAGGCGGCCUCACUGGCCCGAGUACUGACGCUGAUGCGCGAAAGCUAGGGAGCAAACGGG
rnacentral:rRNA from 1 species